GGGGAUUUAGCUCAGUGGUAGAGUGCUUGCCUAGCAAGCGCAAGGUCCUGGGUUCAGUCCCCA
rfam:Rattus norvegicus chromosome 18, whole genome shotgun sequence.